AUUGAACGCUGGCGGAAUGCUUUACACAUGCAAGUCGAACGGCAGCACGGACUUCGGUCUGGUGGCGAGUGGCGAACGGGUGAGUAAUGUAUCGGAACGUGCCCAGUCGUGGGGGAUAACGUAGUGAAAAUUACGCUAAUACCGCAUACGAUCUAUGGAUGAAAGCGGGGGAUCGCAAGACCUCGCGCGAUUGGAGUGGCCGAUAUCAGAUUAGGUAGUUGGUGGGGUAAAGGCCCACCAAGCCAACGACCUGUAGCUGGUCUGAGAGGACGACCAGCUACACUGGAACUGGGACACGGUCCAGACUCCGACGGGAGGCAGCAGUGGGGAAUUUUGGAAAAUGGGCGAAAGCCUGAUCCAGCCAUUCCGCGUGCAGGAUGAAGGCCCUCGGGUUGUAAACUGCUUUUGUACAGAACGAAAAGGUUUCUACUAAUACUAGGAGCUCAUGACGGUACUGUAAGAAUAAGCACCGGCUAACUACGUGCCAGCAGCCGCCGUAA
rnacentral:rRNA from 1 species